rfam:Mesorhizobium ciceri biovar biserrulae WSM1271, complete genome.
UGGCGGGGACGACCUCGCGCUUCCCCAAAUCCGGACGGGACGACCCGC